rnacentral:rRNA from 1 species
CCUACGGGAGGCAGCAGUGAGGAAUAUUGGUCAAUGGGCGCUAGCCUGAACCAGCCAAGUCGCGUGAAGGAUGACUGCCCUAUGGGUUGUAAACUUCUUUUAUAUGGGAAUAAAGUGCAGUAUGUAUACUGCUUUGCAUGUACCUUAUGAAUGAGGAUCGGCUAACUCCGUGCCAGCAGCCGCGGUAAUACGGAGGAUCUGAGCGUUAUCCGGAUUUAUUGGGUUUAAAGGGAGCGUAGGCGGGUUGUUAAGUCAGUUGUGAAAGUUUGCGGCUCAACCGUAAAAUUGCAGUUGAUACUGGCAUCCUUGAGUACAGUAGAGGUAGGCGGAAUUCGUGGUGUAGCGGUGAAAUGCUUAGAUAUCACGAAGAACUCCGAUUGCGAAGGCAGCCUGCUGGACUGUAACUGACGCUGAUGCUCGAAAGUGUGGGUAGCAAACAGGAUUAGAUACCCCUGUAGUC